rnacentral:rRNA from 1 species
UGCAAGUCGAACGGCAGCGGACCUUCGGGUGCCGGCGAGUGGCGAACGGGUGAGUAAUGCAUCGGAACGUGCCAUUGAGUGGGGAUAACGUAGCGAAAGUUGCGCUAAUACCGCAUAUUCUGUGAGCAGGAAAGCAGGGGACCGCAAGGCCUUGCGCUCUUUGAGCGGCCGAUGUCAGAUUAGCUAGUUGGUGAGGUAACGGCUUACCAAGGCGACGAUCUGUAGCGGGUCUGAGAGGAUGAUCCGCCACACUGGAACUGAGACACGGUCCAGACUCCUACGGGAGGCAGCAGUGGGGAAUUUUGGACAAUGGGGGCAACCCUGAUCCAGCCAUGCCGCGUGAGUGAAGAAGGCCUUCGGGUUGUAAAGCUCUUUCGGCCGGGAAGAAAUCGCAUGGGUUAAUACCCUGUGUGGAUGACGGUACCGGCAUAAGAAGCACCGGCUAACUACGUG